rnacentral:lncRNA from 1 species
GGAAGGGCUGAUAUUUGUGCUUCAGCUGGGGAAGGCAUGAAUGGCAAUGCAGUGUUCCACCCCACACUGAGAGAAUGGAAAUCAGCACUGCUUGUCUCAGCAGCAGAGCGAGUCAGGAGGAGCUUUACUUGAGCAUGAAAAUCUAGAGAGAGGAGAGUCAGUCUGUGCGAGGUAGGGAGAACUGCCAAGACUCAACUGGAUAAGUAACACGCAGUAAAUGCUUGGAGUCACCUUGCCAGACAAAUAUUUGCCUUUCACUUUGAAUGAAGACCAAAUCGUGUUCUAACUAGCAGGACCAAGAAAUUCCACGCAUUUUAGUAAGUUGAGUGUCCUACAGAAACUCCCAUGUGAGCCAGAAAUGACACCUUCACGAUUUCCCUUGGGAAACCUGGGAUCCAGAGCUCUUUGCAUUCAGAAUUUCCCUCGGGAUUGCAGGACUGCGGGGCAGCACUGCUGAACUCACGGGUGUGUUAGAGCAGAGGAAGGAGAAGGCUCUUCCUUGAGGUGAGUAACGUGGUCAGGUCAGAAAAUCCUGCCUUGGUUAGAACUGGUAUUAGCAGUUUGUACGUGGGUUAAUCUGGCAGCUGGGCUGCAGCCCCUGCUGUUCUUGUUCUCAAUGGGCAGUGGCAGAUAGAGGCAGCACUUCC